ACGGCUCAGUAACACGUGGAUAACCUGCCCUGCGGUGGGAAAUAACCCCGGGAAACUGGGGAUAAUGUCCCAUAGGCUACGGAUGCUGGAAUGCUCUGUAGCUCAAAGAUUUAUCGCCACAGGAUGGGUCUGCGACCGAUUAGGUAGUUGUUGGGGUAACGGCCCAACAAGCCUUUGAUCGGUACGGGUUGUGGGAGCAAGAGCCCGGAGAUGGAUUCUGAGACACGAAUCCAGGCCCUACGGGGCGCAGCAGGCGCGAAAACUUUACAAUGCGGGAAACCGUGAUAAGGGAACUCCGAGUGUCCGUCAAUGCGGACUGUCCGUAUGUUUAAAAAGCAUGCGAAGAAAGGGCCGGGCAAGACCGGUGCCAGCCGCCGCGGUAAUACCGGCGGCUCGAGUGGUGGCCACUAUUACUGGGCUUAAAGCGUUCGUAGCUGGGUUGUUAAGUCUCUUGGGAAAUCUAUCGGCUUAACCGAUAGGCGUCCAAGGGAUACUGGCAAUCUAGGGACCGGGAGAGGUGAGGGGUACUUCAGGGGUAGGAGUGAAAUCCUGUAAUCCUUGGGGGACCACCUGUGGCGUAGGCGCCUCACCAGAACGGCUCCGACAGUGAGGGACGAAAGCUGGGGGAGCAAACCGGAUUAGAUACCCGGGUAGUCCCAGCCGUAAACGAUGCGCGUUAGGUGUAUCGAUGACCACGAGUCAUCGAGGUGCCGAAGGGAAACCGUGAAACGCGCCGCCUGGGAAGUACGGUCGCAAGGCUGAAACUUAAAGGAAUUGGCGGGGGAGCAC
rnacentral:rRNA from 1 species